rnacentral:rRNA from 1 species
UACGUAGGGGGCAAGCGUUGUCCGGAAUUAUUGGGCGUAAAGAGCGUGUAGGCGGCCAGAUAAGUCCGCUGUGAAAUCUCGAGGCUCAACUUCGAGCUGUCGGUGGAAACUAUCUGGCUAGAGUCCGGAAGAGGAGAAUGGAAUUCCUGGUGUAGCGGUGAAAUGCGCAGAUAUCGGGAGGAACACCAAUGGCGAAGGCAGCUCGCUGGGACGGUACUGACGCUGAGACGCGAAAGCGUGGGGAGCAAACAGGG